ACGGCCGACGCGAGUAAAAGUAUGGUAUCUGUUCUAAUCAGCUUAAUAUCUGAUAGGGGUUGUAUUUGGACCCAAGAUAUUAAACUUAUUUUUGCAAGUUGGCGGAGUGGUUGAGGCCUGCUUUACCUCCGCCACAGAUCGGCCCGGCACUGCAAUAUCGUCGGGAUGUUUGCUCUACGGACA